rnacentral:rRNA from 1 species
ACCGGGGGCUAUAAUGCAAGUCGAGCGGACAGAUGGGAGCUUGCUCCCUGAUGUUAGCGGCGGACGGGUGAGUAACACGUGGGUAACCUGCCUGUAAGACUGGGAUAACUCCGGGAAACCGGGGCUAAUACCGGAUGCUUGAUUGAACCGCAUGGUUCAAUUAUAAAAGGUGGCUUUUAGCUACCACUUACAGAUGGACCCGCGGCGCAUUAGCUAGUUGGUGAGGUAACGGCUCACCAAGGCAACGAUGCGUAGCCGACCUGAAAGGGUGAUCGGCCACACUGGGACUGAAACACGGCCCAAACUCCUACGGGAGGCAGCAGUAGGGAAUCUUCCGCAAUGGACGAAAGUCUGACGGAGCAACGCCGCGUGAGUGAUGAAGGUUUUCGGAUCGUAAAACUCUGUUGUUAGGGAAGAACAAGUACCGUUCGAAUAGGGCGGUACCUUGACGGUACCUAACCAGAAAGCCACGGCUAACUACGUGCCACCAGCCGCGGUAAUACGUAGGUGGCAAGCGUUGUCCGGAAUUAUUGGGCGUAAAGCGCGCGCAGGCGGUUUCUUAAGUCUGAUGUGAAAGCCCCCGGCUCAACCGGGGAGGUUCAUUGGAAACUGGGGAAACUUGUUUGUUUAUUAGAAUAGUG